rnacentral:misc_RNA from 1 species
CAACACUCAAGCUCAGCUUGGUCUUGAGCCUAGCCGGUCACGGCGGGCUUUAAAAUUAGUGGCGGUGCCACCUGGCUCUAAGCGUAGUAAUACUCCUCGCUAUUGAGUUCCGGUGGACGCUGGCCAGCAACCCCCAACUUUCUAA